rnacentral:rRNA from 1 species
GUCCGUAACCGCGAGGGUCGGCCUAGGGUAAUACAGGUGAUUGGGGCUAAGUCGUAACAAGGUAGCCGUACCGGAAGGUGCGGCUGGAACACCUCCUUUCUGGAGUUC